AGGAGCGAAAGCAUGGUAGCGAACAGGAUUAGAUACCCUGGUAGUCCAUGCCGUAAACGGUGGGCGCUAGGUGUGGGGUUCCUUCCACGGGCUCCGCGCCGUAGCUAACGCAUUAAGCGCCCCGCCUGGGGAGUACGGCCGCAAGGCUAAAACUCAAAGAAAUUGACGGGGGCCCGCACAAGCGGCGGAGCAUGUGGAUUAAUUCGAUGCAACGCGAAGAACCUUACCUGGGCUUGACAUAUAGAGGAUCGCUACAGAGAUGUGGUUUCCCUUGUGGCUUCUAUACAGGUGGUGCAUGGUUGUCGUCAGCUCGUGUCGUGAGAUGUUGGGUUAAGUCCCGCAACGAGCGCAACCCUUGUCUUAUGUUGCCAGCACGUUAUGGUGGGGACUCGUGAGAGACUGCCGGGGUCAACUCGGAGGAAGGUGGGGAUGACGUCAAAUCAUCAUGCCCCUUAUGUCCAGGGCUUCACACAUGCUACAAUGGCCGGUACAGAGGGCUGCGAUGCCGUGAGGCGGAGCGAAUCUCUUAAAGCCGGUCUCAGUUCGGAUUGGGGUCUGCAACUCGACCCCAUGAAGUCGGAGUCGCUAGUAAUCGCAGAUCAGCAACGCUGCGGUGAAUACGUUCCCGGGCCUUGUGCACACCGCCCGUCACGUCAUGAAAGUCGGUAACACCCGAAGCCGGUGGCCUAACCCUUGUGGAGGGAGCCGUUGAAGGUGGGAUUGGCGAUUGGGACGAAGUCGUAACAAGGUAGCCGUACCGGAAGGUGCGGCUGGAUCACCUCCUU
rnacentral:rRNA from 1 species